GUCCUUGUUCUUGAAGCAAAAAUAAAAAAUAAAAAAAAGCAAGUGCUUUUGGAUUUUCACAGCUGCAAUAAUUUUUUUUAUGAAGAAUUCAUAUAAUGAGCCGAGUGACUAUUUUUUUCGUUAAAUUUGAGAGAUGUUGGAGUUGCAAUGUGGUGGAGGUUAAAGACAAGGUGCAUACAAGAGGAGACAAUGUUCACAUUUUUUUGGAUUUACGUGCAC
rnacentral:lncRNA from 1 species